rnacentral:rRNA from 1 species
UACGGAGGGGGCUAGCGUUGUUCGGAAUUACUGGGCGUAAAGCGUGCGCAGGCGGUUUUGUAAGUCUGACGUGAAAUCCCCGGGCUUAACCUGGGAAUUGCGUUGGAGACUGCAAGGCUGGAGUCUGGCAGAGGGGGGUAGAAUUCCACGUGUAGCAGUGAAAUGCGUAGAGAUGUGGAGGAACACCGAUGGCGAAGGCAGCCCCCUGGGUCAAGACUGACGCUCAUGCACGAAAGCGUGGGGAGCAAACAGG